UGGGUGAGUGGUUAUUGUUUUAAUAGUUGGUCUGUUUUUGUAUUGGUGGUGUUAUCUUACUUUUAGUAGUUAUUCUAUGGUUGUGUUACUUUUACUUUUUGGGAAUUUUAAUUGAGCAUUGAUUUAGCCAUUCUGCUGCUCAUCAAAGUAUGGCUUAUUGAUGGCUUAAUUUCAAGAACAAAAGCUAUAGUGUCUAGAAGUUGCCCCCAAACAACAAAAAGGGGGAAAAAAAGGGUUUGCUUUGCUAAAAGGUAUACUCGUCUUUUUGAUUCAUCUUAACUUAAUUGCUUCUACUAGGCUUAUUGGAGUUUACAUAGUGGAAUAAUUUAUUGGUUAAAGUGCAGAAUUAACAUCCUGACUGCAGUCUUGAUUGCUGAUUCUUUGAACUGAACUAAUUAAAUGCUGGAUGUGUUGAUUUAUGAGAAGGAAAUCUGAGGCCGUUGCUUUAUCUAAGUUCUGAUGAUUGUUCAAGCUGAACUAAUUAUUUUGGCUUGGGAGAAGGAAAUAUGGGGUUUUUUCCUAAUCUAACUAAGUUGAAAUUAUCAGAACUUUUCCAGUGCUGGAUUGUGCACAAGCCAAAUGUUUAAUUGUGAUCAUAUCUGCUUACAUGUUUGGGUUCUUCUUUUGUAAUUAAACUGUGACGAACCGCCAAAGGCAUUUGUAAGAACCUUUUGAAUCAAGCAGUGCGGCGAUUCGAAAGGUUCUCAGCCAGGUAGUAACUUAACUAGAUGAAGUAUAAGCGCUUAGAUGAUUUUCUGUCUCCUCUCUAUUUAAUAUUAGAUACCAUCUCUUCAUUUAUGGUCUUCCUUUUGUUGUGCUCCUGUCCGAAAGCAGCUGUUCGGUGCGAGUUAAUUUUGCAGUCAGAAUUUGUACUUGUAUGGAUAUAUGGUAUCAAGAGAUCCUUCCUCUAGAAUAGUUGAUGAGUUCUGAUCUACUGGUUUUAUGUUUGAGCUUUUUACUUUGGGUUCCUAACCUUGCAGACAUGAUGAAUGUCUUAGAUGUGGUGCUAUCAGUUAAUAAUUUUAGAAUCUCAUUGCAUUGCCCCUUUCUGUUUUUCCUUUCCAAAAACAAAUUUUCACUGUGAAUUGUACUAGUGGGUGUGUUUUAUAGGAAUCUCUGGAGAGGAGGAAUACUCUCUCUGACAUUCUUGAGCGUUUCCAAUUUUGGUUUAACUUGUUUUUGUCGGGUGCAGCAAGACUAUGCAGGUAGAGGAAAUUCUAACUAUUGAUGUGAAGCCCGGAUGGAAGAAGGGUACAAAGAUCACCUUCCCUGAGAAAGGAAAUGAGCAGCCAAAUGUUAUACCCGCUGAUCUUGUAUUCGUUAUUGAUGAGAAGCCUCACAGUGUAUUUACUCGGGAUGGAAAUGAUUUGAUUGUCACACAGAAGAUAUCUCUUGCAGAAGCAUUGACAGGUCAUACUGUUCAUCUCACCACCCUAGAUGGGAGAAGUUUAAACAUCCCAAUCAACAAUGUGAUUCAUCCCACCUACGAGGAAAUUGUCCCAAGAGAAGGAAUGCCCCUUCAAAAAGACCCAUCAAAGAGAGGCAACUUGAGAAUCAAAUUCAACAUCAGGUUCCCUACUAGGUUGACCGCCGAGCAUAAAGCGGGAAUCAAGAAACUCCUUGGUCCCUGAAAUAGAUACAUCGGCAAAUGAUAUUUUUCAGAAACAGAGUUUUUUGUUGUGAAUAUCCGCGCGUCAGAUCAUCGAGUAUAUUAUGAAACAUGGCCGGCUGUCCUGGUUGGUUCUUUGGUUACAUUGUGAUUACAAUUCUACUAGCUUAAAUUGAUAGUUACUUUCUUAGGCUUGUUUGAGAGUUGCUGCUUAAUGCAUGGGAGAGUUGCGUCGUCAUCUUAUUUAAGAUUCAGGGGUUAUCAACUGUAAACCAACAUCUGCUUUCAUAAUAAAAAUAUGAUUGAUUUCUGCAUCAUUGCCUGUGUUGGUUUCUGAUGAUAUUAGGAAUCUGAUAUAGGGGUGUUUUAGGUGGCUAAAAAUUUCCUUUUGGAUGGUGUCGUAUCUACUGUUUAUGUUCUUUGGGUUGAUAUGUGGUGGUAAAAUUUGUCUUUGAUUUACUAGAUUUGCUGUGAUUCGAGUUUCUUGCAUUGGGCUGAAUGGGGAAUGUAACUGGGAGUUCUACAAAUCCAGUUAGAUAAAGUUCAAAAUAAUUUUCUGUGGCUUUUAUUUCUCUUAAAAGCGGAAUUCAGUCAAUUAAGUAAAACUGUUGGAGGAAGCUAUCAAUUUUUUAGUCAACUUGCAUUUUACUCAAUGGAUUGUUUUAAAUAUUUUUAUAAUAUAUUUCAUAAGGAGCUGGCUAAUUUACAGAUUCUGUAACAUACAGAUCCAACUUAGCCAGCUCCUGAAUGGUUAGCUAGCUACCAAACAAAAACAAUUGCAUGCUUUUUCUCCAUAUGCAGGACAGGUGUGGUGCAUGCAUUGGGUGCGUAUGUUACAGAACCUGUAAGGUAGACAGGUCCUAUUUCAUAAUCACGGUUGCCGGUGUACUAAGUUUAAAAGAAUAAUUCGAAUCAGCUAUGUUAAGAGAAUUUGGGAAAUUUACAAAAGUAAUCAUAAAAUUUUUAUUAGUUUUACAAUUAAUUCUUUAAAUUUUUUUUAAUUAACAUUAAUUAAGCACCAUUUUUUUUCUCUAAAUUAUCCUUAUUUACAAAUCAAAAAUAUUUUUUAUCUUUUAUCAAAUCAAACGCAGUUUUGCAUUCUUGAAUCAUUACCAAUGGCAGCAUAAGACAACAGCAAACGGCGAUAGCGAACAAUAAAUGUGAAAUUCGAACAUAAUCCAUUUGGAUCCAAUACCAAUCCGCAUCAUUGAGUGGUAUGAAUUAUUUUAUGAACUUGCGAGAGUUUCAGUGCGAUUGCUUGGUGUAACAUGCACCUGUUGCACAAAUUUAGUGCGACAGGCAGCUUGUCGCACAAAAUUUUCGUAGGACAAUCUGCCCUUUGGUGCGACAGGAUGCAUGUCGCACUAAGAGGUAGAUUCACCGACUUUGCUUUUUAGUGCGAUGGGCAGUCUGUCACCCCAAAACCGUGCGACAGGCAACCUGUUGCACCAAGAGGUAAAUUUAUUGCAACUGACUCUUUAUUAAUUUGAUAGUGCACAAUUAUUAUUAUUUUUUUAUAAUUUCAGGCUUAAUAGAUUCAGUUGUGCUUAAAUUAUAUUAUGAUGGUUGGUGGGAGACGUUAGAGGAUAGUCGUAUGAAGUAUGUGAAUGGUAAAAAUAGAGUUUUUUUUAUUGAGAAAAAUUGUCUGUUUGAUCAGUUUUUGACAAGAGUAUACGAGGUGUUACAAAUAAAUCUUAAUGAACAUAGUAUCACAAUGAAGACAAUUUUGAGAUCUAGUAACACAUUAUAUCGUAUAUGUGCACUGCACAUUGAUAUAUUUGAUGGUGAAAUGGUGAGGGUUGUGUUGCAUAUGGCAUCCAAUGUGGCCAACUAUAGAUGCAUUCCUAUAUUCGUUACCACAUCACCUCGAGUUCUGAGCGAAGAUGUUGAGCCACAUGUUGGAACAGAAACUUCCUUUAGAGCAAAUAUUUUUGGCCCCGAUAAUGAAUAAGAGGUGUUGCCAAGGACAAUGUCGUUGCAGCAAUAUUACUCUCCAAUCUAUGAUAAUUAUGACAACAUUGAUGACAACGGUAUUACGUUAGAAGAUGUUGGAGAAGAGGUGUUACUACUAAUGACGUUGUUGAAGUAACGGUAUUCUCCGUAUCACAACAAUGGUUUCCAGGACAAUGAUGAUCUUCACGAUGAGACAGAGAGGGAUAAUAUUUGUGCAGAAUCUUUUAAUAGUAUGAUGGGCACUCAUUUCAAUAAUGCAGGUGAUGAUAGAGGAGCCGGUCCUUCCAAUAUUCUGUCGUUUUAGCACGAGGAUGGGUGUGAAAACGAUAUUCAUGUGAAUAACAGAGAAGAAGGAGGAUUCACAAGUCAAUGAAUCUAUUCCUUCAAUAGUUCGAUCGAGAAGGAGGAUUGACACCUUCACAAGUCUUACUCCAAUUUUGUCUUCGAACAUGGUUGCUCCAAGCUUUCUUAGCAGUUGUGACUUAGAUGAUAUUAGUGUGGGUAAGCUAUUUGCUGAGAAGAAUGAGUUAAUAUUACAAUUGCACAAGGUUGCCUUUAGGAAUAAGUUUAAUUUCAAAAUUACACGGUCUACAACGAUACGUUUCGAAGCUCAUUGUUGUUCGGAAUCAUGUAAGUGGCGUAUUCGAGCAAUUAGAAGUUCGAAAGAGCAUAAUGUUCUUUGGGUGGUGAGGAGAAUUGACCAUGUACACACUUGUCAUAAUGAUGUAUUGGUUAAUGAUUGUCGUCAAGUAAGAAGCCGAGUUAUCGGUCAUAUUAUCACAGAUAAAUAUAUUUAAGAAAAGAGAAUUUAUACUUCGAAUGACAUCAGAGCAGAUAUGCAAUAAAAAUACGGUGUUCAGUUAACAUACCAACAGACAUAUCGGGCCAGAGAAGUUGGUCUUGAAAUAGUUAGAGUCAUACAACUUGCUCCCUAAAAUACUCUCAUGUACUGACUAAAGCGAAUGAAGGGACAAUCACUCACCUCGAGUGGGAUGGAGAUGGUAAUUUCUUGUACUACUUUGCAGCACUUGGAUCUUCCAUCAAGGGAUUUAUGCAGUGUAUUCGGCAUGUUAUUGUUGUAGAUGGUACUCAUCUAAAGGGACUAUAUCGUGGAAGCAUGUUCGCAGCAACAUGUCUGGAUGGUAACAAUCAAUUGUAUCCGUUAGCCAUUAGGGUCAUAGAUUCAGAAAAUAAUGAUGCUUGAGAAUGAUUUAUGAUAAAGUUACACAGGGUGAUUAGUGAUAGGCUGGAGUUGGUAAUUAUCUUUGAUCGAUGCACUGCCAUAAAGAGAGCCGUUCUGAAAGUAUUUUACAAUGCAACUCGUGGCGUUUGUUUUUACCAUGUGAAAGGUAACAUUAAGGCAAAGUUUAGGAUGUCCAAAGCUCUUUGGGAUGAAUUUGAGCCUGCCUUUAUUAAUGCAGUAAAAUCAUAUGGAUACGAGAAAUUUAAAAAACAACUUGAAGGGUUGUGGAUGAUCCACUCGGGUGCGGCUGAUUACUUAGAAAAUAAUAUGGAUACAUGUAAUUGGACAAGGCCUUAAUUUGAAGGUAGGAGGUACAAUAUACUUACCACCAACAUCGCAGAGAGUGUUAAUUCUUUUAUGAAGGAACCGCGAAAAUUUCUUGUUACUCAUCUUGUUGAUUACUUUAGGAAACAUUGCAGCAAUGGUUUUAUGAUAGAAAAAUUGUGGCUGAAUCAAUGAGUACUCGGUUAACAAUAUGGACAUUUGAAAUAGUCACUGGGAGGAAAACUAUAGCUGAAAAAAUGAUCGUUCGGCCGGUGUCUCCGUAUCAAUUUCAAGUUGUAGGUGGUGGGAUUAAGGAAGGUUUAGUUGACCUACAAAAGAAAACUUACUCCUUCAAAGUAUUUUAGCUUGAUCACCUUGUAUGUGCUUAUGCAAUUGCGGCGUGUCUAACUGUCCGAGUGGAUUUCAUUAACCUUUAUUUGGACUUUUACACCACAGAAUCGUUGGCGAUGACUUAUGGACAACCAGUGGAGCUGGUUGGUGACGUGGCUGAUUGAGAAGUUUCAGAUGAAAUUUAAUAUAUGCAAGUAUAUCCACUAGUUGAGGCAACACCAUCUGGUCGUCGUAAAGAGCUCAGAAUAACCUCGACUGGCAGGGAUGUUAACUGGCAGACUAUUAGAUGCGAGUGGAGUAAUGAGCUGGGACAUAACAAUAAGCGAUGUAGGAAUCCCAUUGCGUUGAGUCGAAAUUAGUUGUAUUGUUUCAACGAUUCCUUAGUUAAAACAGUUGUUGUUUUUUUGUGUAUUGUACACUUAUAUGUCAUGAAAUUUUAUUUUAUUUUUUAUAUUAAAAUGUGAGCAUUAAAAUUAUAUAAACUUAAGUGCGCAAAUUAGAAUAAAAUUUAAUAUUUCAACAUUCGAAUUACUAUAACGGCUUAUAAUACAAUAUCGUCAUUAAAUAUGUCAACUGCAAUCUUCUUUCUAAAGUAUUCCCCACGACUGCUGUUAAACUCUAAUUUAAGCCCGAACAUUAAAUACAUCAUAAACAUUAAUAAAAAAAACACCGCAAUCGCUAGUUCUGAGCUCUUGUUGUAGCACACUCUUAAUUGUGAUAACUUUCCAGGGGUUAGUACUCUGCAACUUAGGUCGGAUGUUGUAAAAGCCAAUAUAUUCCAACCAUCGAGGGAAGAUAACUUCAAGCGACUUGAAUUUCAACUUGUACUUUUUGUAGUCUCGAAAUGUCAGUAAUGAGUUAUAAAUUCAGACUUUGUUCUUACGAAAGUCUACUCGAGAUAGUACCCAAUGCUCGCAGUCUAGGUUAACAGGGAUGAGUAACUGUAUAUAAAAAAUUAUCGUUAAUUAAUAAUGUUUGUUAUAUAUGAAAUUGAAAAACAAACAACAAAAAGCCACAUCCACAUUUGAUUAUGGCCGUGCAAUGCAAUAAAAUACAUACCAUAUCGACAUCCGUCAUUGGUUUGGACAUGAUGUGUUAUCACCCACCAAUAUAGUUAUUUAAGUUGUAGCUAUAUACUAAUGAAUCGACCACAUAAUCUCCGUUGUUCCAUAACUGAUUCAAGAACACAUAUUACAUAGAUAACCAAGAAAUACAUAGAUUAACAAAACUUCAAGGUGAUAAUAAACAAAUAGAAAGGGUAAUUAUAAGUUAGCUCGGCACGUUACCCACAAAAAUAUAUUAGUAUGUGUGAUACGUUGAAUUAAGGUAUUCGUAUACUGCCGUUGUUUCUCGCUAAUCAAGCAAAAAUACUCGUGAAUAUGCUGCAGAGGAACAAAAAUAUGUCGAUUUAAAAAAAAAUAUACACAAAUCCACAACACGGAAAGAAAUUAGGAAAAUAAUUACAUCGUCCCCAAGUCAUCCUAUUGAAACAUGGCCCAAAAUCACUUGAAAGAACGAAUGCGGGUAUUGGACUCUCUGAUCCAUUGUCAUAUCGCCAGUGAACCAUCGGUCAAACUCAUCAUACAGACUUGGAUCCUCCAAUCCUCUAAGUAGAUUUAUAUCCACACUCGUACUCAUGUCAAUCGCAUAGUCCAUGAUUUAGGGUGGAGGUAAAGGUUGGACGUUUUUUCCUCGCUCGAAUAGAGGAAUCAUAUAGGGACUGUUAAAAACAUACGAUGGUCUGUACGCUCGGCCGAACUUGCUAAUGUCCGGAGACACCUCAGCGAAGACCUGCAUACUCUUCCUACUAACAUCCCCGUAGAAAUUAUACAAUGACGUGGGAGUAGAAAAAUUUUGAUUGCUCACAUCAGUAUACACUCCAUAGUCAUCUGGGGCAUGUCUAUUCAGCAAGAUGGACAUAUUAAACAAUUAUCAAAUUAAAAGUUAAACGAACAUAAUUGUCAAAUUUAAAUUUGCUCACCCAUACGAGCGUCCAAUCGCAGAAUCCUUGUUUGGAAGCUUAGACAGUGAAUAGAUAAAUCCCACCACAAUUUCUUUAAAAUCUUUAAAUUCCAACUUAAGUUCAUAAAUGUUACGAUCAAUCUUGUCAUUCUUAUAAUCUUUUAACUUGAUUUUACAAAAAGGAUUACAAAUGAAUUUCUUAACCCAAGUGUAUUGCAACACUUAUAAUCUUUUAACUUGAUUUUACAAAAAGGAUUACAAAUGAAUUUCUCCCACACAAUGUAUUUGAUCACAAAUGAAAGCUCAAUGUGUGAAUGAUGAGAUGAAUACAAGGAUUUAAAGCUCAAUGAAAGUUGUAUUCUCAAUAUUUUGCUCAAUGAUGAUCGUUAGAAUUCUGCAUAUUUGGAUUUGAAUGAGCUUAUUUAUAUUUGGAGCUAAAAACUAGCCGUUAUUGACUAUCUGCUCACUAUUGGAUCGCCGUUAACUAGAUGUCGGAUCACCGUUUGACUGGUCAAUAUGACCGUUGGGCUGAAUUUUUAAAUUGUCGGAUCGUCGUUAUCUAGAUGUCGGAUCGCCGUUUAGGUCCAGAGGUUAAUCUUCAGUUCUGUUCGAUAUCGGCGAGUCAUUUAUUAAAAUUGUCGGAUCGCCAUUUAGGUCCAGAGGCUAAUCUUCAAUUUUGUUAGAUGUCGACGAGCCGUUAUCAAUAUGUCGGAUCGCCGUUUUCUACAGUAACUACUACAGUGACUGCUACAGUGAACUAUUUUAUAAAAUAACAGUUUGACCGUAAAACUUUAUAUAACUGUACUAUGGCCCAAAACAUUAUACAUUUAGCAAAUAAGUCCAAUUUCAGAAUUUCUAAAUAAUACUUACUAUUCCCAAUACUUUUUGAAAUUAUGAUAUAGCCCAAAAUGCUAUGAAUACUUUUCAAAUAGAUUCUUCAAAAUUUUAAGCAAUACUUGUUGAUUUCAAAGUUUUCAAAACUCUUUCAAUUAAACCAUAAACUUGAAAAAUAAAUAAUUUCAUAAAAUCAUUUUUCUAUUAAAUAUAAAACCUUUAAAAUGUGAAAAUAAUGAUUUAUUUAAACUGUAUAAAAAUAAUUUGAGCUUUUAAAAACUGAAUCAUUCUUAAUUUUGUUUGUUAUCAUCAAAAUCAACAUUAUGAAUACAUAAAUGUUAACAAUCUCCCCCUUUUUUAUGAUGACAAACUUUUCAUGUAUUUAAAGAAUGAUUCCACAAAUUACUCCCCUUAAAUGUAAGCUUCUCUUACAAUUUAGGUAAAUUAACAAAUUUAAAUACAUGAAUUCUUUCCCCCUCAUCAUCAAAAAGAAAACUUAAUGAAAAAGAAAAAAAGUAGUAAAUUUGUUACCCAUGUUGUCCGAGUAGAAAUUGGGAUAGAUACUUCCCCUAACAACAAGCAUCGCCUCAAAUGCAAAUUUAGUAAUAUUACUCCGAAGUUAUUAUAAAUCAUGAUACACACCAUGUAAUCAAAUCAUCAUCAUAUCUCAAAAUCAUCACCAUAAUCACAUAUUAAUCAUCAAAACAAUAUUCAAAAGUCCAUAUUAUUCUCCUCUUUUUGAUAACAUCAAAAUGAUAUAUUACUUUGUCUCCUCCUUUGGACAACAAAAAAGUUCAAAAUGCAUAUUAUCCAAAAUCAUAUUAUAUGUUCCCCCUAAAUAUAUGGCCAAUUUAAAAUUUUAACUAAAAUGAUUUGAUCAAAAACAUAUCAUAUUUAUUUCCCCCUUCAUCAUAAAAAAGAAAAGAUAGAUAGAUGCAAUCGAAACAAGAUCAUAAAAAAUAAUUCGAUGAAGAUAUUACCCAUUUUGUGCGAGCAAAAAUUUCGUCAAAAUCUCUCCUUAAAAAUGAACAAAUUCCCAAAUACACAACAUGGUUAAAAAUUCUUCCAUAUAAACUGAAACAAUUAUAACAAACCAACAACUCCAUCAAUUCAUCAAGCAACACAUAUAUAAUCAUCAAUCAUCAAAGUCAUCAAGAAAUCAAUUUUAAUAGUAUUAAUAACAUCAUUAGAGAUAUUAAUAAAUUUCAUCAUCCUAAGUUCAUGCCGAAUUUUUGAAAAUUGUUCUUCACAAAAAAGUUUUGAUUUGUUUACCAAGUUGGCAUGCAAAAGUUAUAAGAACAUAUUAUCAACUAUCCAAACUCCAUAAUAAGUAAACACAUUUUAAAAAUCAAGACAAUUAAACUCAUCAAAGAUCUAAUGUGACAUUUUAAUAUAACUUAAAAAAUCUCAUAUGCUUAAAAUUCUCAAAGUAUAUGUAUUUCUCCCAUUUUCGAUAUUAUUUAAAGCAAAUAAUGCAUAUUCGACAAUACAUCAAUAAAGUACAAAAAAAAUGCAUCCAUUCACCAAUUAUAGUUCCCAUAAGAUCAAACUUCCUCAAAUACAUGUAAUCAUCAAAGCAUAUUCUUUAUCUCAAAUCUUCAGCAAACAUAAGUGUAUAAUUGCAAUAUAAGAUCAUCAAAAUCAACAUAACUAUUAAGAUAAGCCAUCAUUAUGAGUAAAGAACAAGUGAUCAAAUUCAUAAGCGCAAUAAGUCAUUAGUGCGAAUUUGAUAAAUAAUAUAACACAAUUAAUGGCAUAUGAAUUCACAUAUACAUAAGAGAUAGACAAUGAUGAUAGACAAUUAAGAAGAUGAAAUCAAAGACCAUACAAUCAUCAAAAUCAAACAAAGGCAUCAUGAUAAAUUACUCAAUGUUAUACACAAUGAUAAUUCAAUUAUGUAAACGUAUUAUCAUACUUUUGCAAAUUUAAGCUACUAUCCAUUUAUCAUGAUCCAUUAAAAAAAAUAGCCAAGAUAAUUUUAUCCAUAUCAUGCUAAUGCACUUAAUGUUAUGAUGAAAUAUGAAAUACUUACUAAGAUUAAAAAAUCGUCACUUAUAAUCAAUAAGGCAAUAAUUGUUACCAAAACAAUUAAAUAAUCUUGCCUCAUUAUUUUUGCUUACACCAUGAUCAAAUGAUUAUUCUCAUAAGCUUUUAUCAAGGAACUCUCCGUCAUUCCUUGAUUGUAGUGCCUACAAAAAAAUAUUCAAGUUGUGUAUUUUGGUACCCAAAUAUUCUUGGGUCCUUGAGUGUUAACAAUGGUUCCUUUUGGAACCCAAAUACAUGUUACUCCAUAAUAUGCAUUUCUUUUGACCGGACAUCUAAGCUUCAUGUGACCAUUUUGAUUGCAAUAAUGACUUACAAUUUGAUCAUUAAUGGAGGUAGUUUUAACAAAAUAACUCUUAUAAUAUUUUUGCUUCAAAUUUGACUUAUAAUCAAUACCUCCUUUAUCAAACACACACUUUUGCGAAUUAAGCAAGUUAUCCAACAUCUUUUGCCCAUUUGUGAAUUUUAACACAAUUUGAUUUAGCUCAUUGCUUUUCUUCUUAAGCACUUCAUUUUCUUUUAUUAAUUCAUCAAUCUAUGAUUUCUCAUGCUUAUAUGAAGUACUUUGUUUGCAUUUAAAUGAUGUAAUUUUAUCAUGCAAGAUUUUAUUAUCUAACUCUAGUCCUUUAAUCUUUUCAUUUAAUAAAUCAUUUCAUUUUUGUAAAGUAUCAUUUUCAUUUUUCAAGUCAUCUACAUAUGAUUCUAGAUGCUCAUGUGAAGUGCUAGGUUUCUCAUUUGAUAAUGCAACUCUAUCAUGCAAUGUUUUAUUCUCUAAUUCUAGGCAUAUAAUCUUUACACUUAGAGAUUCAUUUUCAUUUGUGAGCUCUACCAUUUUCUUUUUAAGAUAUGCAUUCUUUUUACUAAUUUUCAUCCACUCAUCAUACAAUUCUUUAAACGCAUCAUGUAAUUCAUCAUAAGUAGGAAGAUCAUUUACCUCAUCAAGUUCAUCAUCCGAUUCAUCUUCAAUUGCCAUAAGAGCUAGAUUUGUCAUUUCUUGAUGCUCUUCAUCAUCACUUGUUUCCUCAUCGCUAUCAUCCCAUGUGGCUACCAUUGCUUUCUUCUUGAGCUUAUUGAGAAGAGGACAUUCUGUUCUUAUAUGACCAAGCUUUUUGCACUCAUAACAUUUGAUUAUUUCCUUCUUCUCCUUUCGGCUCUUGAGGUCUCUAAAUUUUCUUCGCUCACUAAUUUCUUAAAAACUUUUCUAAACCUCCUAGCCAGCAUAUCCAUCUCCUCCUCAUCCAGCUCGCUUUCCUUGUCACUCUCAUGUUUCGAGACUUUGAGAGCAAUGCUUUUCUUCUUCUCCCCAUUGCCUUUUUCGGCUGCCAAGUCUUCCUCAUAAGAAAUAAGAGAACCAAUUAAAUCAUCAAUAUGUAAGAUUUUAAAUCUUUGGCUUCCUCAAUGGCAGUCAUUUUUUGUCUCCAUUCCUUAGGUAGUGACCUAAUGAUUUUCUUAACUUUCUCGCUAUUUGAAAAUGUCUUUCCUAGGGCUCCCAAAGUGUUCACUAUGUCCGUAAAUCUAGUAUACAUAGAAUACACACGCUCAUUUUGUUCCAUUUGGAACAAUUUAUAUUGUCGAGUGUACCUACAAAUUUUACACUCUUUCACUUGAUUCUUACCUUCAUAAACAACUUCAAGUUUGUGCCAAAUUUCAUUAGUACUUUCACAACUAAAUGCUCUAUGAAACUCUUUCUUAUCUAGUGCACAAAACAAGGCAUUCUUAGCUUUGGAAUUUAGAGAAGCUUUUCUCUUUUCCAAUUCAUUCCAUUCCCGUGAAAGUUUUGGAAUAUCUUCCCCGACUUCAUUUGUAGUCAAAGGCAUAAAUGGACCAUCACAAACAAUUUCCCAAAUUUCAUAAUCUAAAGCUUGUAAAUAAAUUCUCAUCUUAGUUUUCUAAUAUGGGUAGUCAUUACCAUCAAAGAACAGUGGUCUAAUUGUGGAUUGUCCUUCCCUAAAGGUUAAGUCAUUAUAGGUUGCCAUGGAUAUUUAACUCUAGACGGUUAAGUCUACACAAGAGCACCUUACUCUGAUACCAAAUGAAAUUCUAGUUAUGCAACCCAAGAGGGGGGGCGAAUUGAGAUUUUAAAAAUUAAACUAAGCAAAUCACACAACAAUUUAAUCUAAUGCCUUAAUGAAAUAAAUAAUAAUAAAUUUAAUAAAGCACAAUAAUAAAAGAGUGAGGGAAGAGAGAGCAAACACAAUGAUUUUUACGUGGUUCGACAAUCCCCGCCUACGUCCACACCUCUAAGCUCACCGGGCUUGAGGAUUUUACUAAGCAAGCCUCCAAGGCUUCAAAUGCUUACAAUUGACUUCCAAAGUGUCAAUGGACCUUCACAACAAGAGAUUAUCCUUAAUCUCUUAACCCAAGUGUAUCGCAACACUUAUAAUCUUUUAACUUGAUUUUACAAAAGGGAUUACAAAUGAAAGCUCAAUGUGUGAAUGAAUGAGAUGAAUACAAAGAUUUAAAGCUCAAUGAAAGUUGUAUUCUCAAUAUUUUGCUCAAUGAUGAUCGUUAGAAUUCUGCAUGUUUGGAUUUGAAUGAGCUUAUUUAUAGUUGGAGCUAAAAACUAGCCGUUAUUGACUAUUUGCUCACUGUCGGAUCGCCGUUUAACUGGUCAAUAUGACUGUUGGGCUGAAUUUUUAAAUUGUCAGAUCGCCGUUAUCUAGAUGUCGGAUCGCCGUUUAUGUCCAGAGGUUAAUCUUCAGUUCUGUUCAAUAUCGGCGAGCCGUUUAUCAAGAUUGUCGGAUCGCCGUUUUCAUGUUAUUUCUUACUUUAUACUUGAUGAAAUUGAUGAAAAAAUAUGAAUUGAUUUUUUUUUAAGAUGAGGCAGCCUUAUAAAAUUAAUGUUAUUUAUAAAAGUUAAUUAUUUGUUUAUUAACUUUAAAUAUGUGUGUGUGUGUGUGUGUGUGUGUGUGUGUAUAGUUAAGUGUACGGACAUUAUACCUUUUGUAGUUGUUGAUAAGUUCCAAAUUAUAUUCAACUUGCUAAUCUAUUAGAACUUUUAUAUCUCUUUUUUUCCAACUAGCUCCAACAAUCUCAAUAUCACCCACACCACAUAAACUUCCGACAACAUCUGUAAUAUUAUGGAAAAAUAACAUAAACUUGCUAAAACAUAAGGAUCAAUAAUUUCUAAUAUACACUUAAAGAUUAACAAACAUUAAAAAUUAAAAAAAAUAUCUCAGAGGAUUGUGUUAUCAUUCACACGUAUAUUAACUAAUAAAAGUUAGAAAUGUUGAAUGCAGUAGAAGUAUCCAAUGCAGUCGUCGAAAACCGGGUGGUUUAAACCAAAAUAAAAACAAAAAAAAGCUAUUAGCAUCAACAUAAAUAAAGAAGCAACGCAAAAUAAAGAAUAAAAUGAGAUAAUAUUAUAUAGAAUGAUUUUAUUCAUUCCAAUUGUGUGUGUAUAAAACAAAAAGAUGAGUUCUCCUUUUAUAAUUACAUAAUCACUCCAUGAAAUUAAUGAAAAAUUAUGAAUCAUAAUUCCUUGUGAGAUAGUGGGAGUUAUAGAGAAGCUAAAUGUUGCUAAUAGGAGAUAGUGGGGAGAUUAAGAGAUAUAUAUUAUGAACAUCCACAUUUAUUUUAAUAAAUUUAUAACACUCCCCGUUGGAUGUUCAUUAUAAAGAAUAUGCCUCAUUAAAACCUUUACAUAAUUGUUAUUGUGUAAUAACAAUCAAAUUAAUUAUGAGAAGACGUAAAGCCAAAUCUAAAAGAAAAUUUCUCUAUUUAUUAGAUAAUAGAAAAUAUACAAAAAUGAGAAAUAGUGAUGCCACAUCACUUCUUGUAGUCCCAACUUUAUAUAUAUAUAUAUAUAUAUAUAUAUAUAUAUAUAUAUAGAAAGAGAGAGAGAGAGAGAGAUUGUAAUAAUGAAAUGUGCAUAAAAAAUAAUAUAAAAAUAGCAUAUUAUUUUUUACAUUAUUUCAUUAAAUUUUAUGUCAUCGUCAAUACAUAUAUCAAUAUUAUUAAUAAGAGUUGAUUAAUUACGUGAGAGACAGAUGAGUUUGUGCAAUUGGACAGAACAAGUCUCACACUAUAUUUUGCAAGGUCAUCACUUUAAUUUCAAAGGUUCAACCUUGUGUCUGUUUUGUGUGAAUUAUUAUUUUUUCCACAUAUAUCAUGGGCUUUAUAUAGAAAAAUGUUUUAACUCCACUAGGAUAAUUUAAUUAUUAUUUUACUAUUAAAGAGUAUUAAUUAAAAUAUCUAAACUCUUAUUUACUCUUAUGUGGAUGAUGUGAGAUGGAGUCGACCCUAAAUUUUGUUCAUAUUUACAUAAGAAAGUCUUGUUCGAGAUUGAGGUUGAACUGUUGUAACUUAAAAAGUAUACUAUUAAAGUGUUUGAUAAACACUAAUUGCUGUAAUUUAAAAGAUAAAUUGAUUUGAUUUUACACUCGUGUGAUGAAAAAAUUAUUAUAUUUUUAUUAAAUUUUUUAAAUUUAUUAUUUAAAAAUUAUAUUUAUUACAUCCUACUAAAUUUAUUUUAUAGUUACAUUUUUUUGAAUAAUAGUUAUAAAUUUUAAGAUAUAACUAUUAAACAUUAACUACUGUAACUCAGAAGUUAAAUUAAUUUGAUUUUACACUUGAGCGAUGAAAAAAUAAUUAUAUUUUUAUUAAAUUUUCAAAAUUAUUAUUUAAAAAUUAUAUUUAUUACAUCCUAUUAAAUUUAUUUUAUAGUUAUAUUUUUUUAACAAUAGUUAGAGGUUUUUAAGAUAUAAUAGCUCAAUAUCAGUCAAGCACAAAGUAAGAGGAGGAAUGGAAAAAGAGACGCGUUCACAUUGUACCUCAAAAGUAGAAAAAUAAAGAAACGAGGAAAAAGAUUCGGAGCUUACCGAAAUUCCAAAACUGCCCGUUUACUUCUUCGUCAACGGAACACUAGAAUCCUGAAGAGAACGUCCACUUUGGUAGUUUCCAAGCACAUGCCCCAUGGCCAUCACUCCAUCAGCUUCCGCGAGAAGUAACUCCGCGAGAAGUAACUCCAUCAGCUUGCGCGAGAAGUAGAAGCAAAAGCUAGUAGAAAUUAUUUGAUUGCUUUUGCUUUGCUCCGAAAGCAAAAGGCUUAUAAAAAGCCAUCCAAGCUUUUGGGCAGAAGCAGAAGCAGCAGUUAGUGAAAGUGAAGAAGAGAAGAUGGGAGCUGAUUAUUACAAGAUACUGGGAGUUGAUAGGAAUGCAAGUAGCGAUGACCUGAAGAAGGCUUACGAAAAGAUGGCCGCGAAGUGGAAUCCUGAUAAAUAUCCUGAUAACAGGAAAGAAGCUGAAGCUAAGUUGAACCGAGUUUGUGAAGCUUAUGAGGUCUAAUAUCUUUUUACUUUCUGCUUUCUAUUAUCAAACUUUAUUUUCCAAAACACUAUUUUUUAAUCACAGUAUGUUGUUAUGUGAUGAUGGUUACAAAAUGAUAUUACUUUUGUGGGAAUUUUUUUUUUUUUAAUUUUCUUGAAAUUGUUAUUCUCUAAUUUGAGACCAUUAAUUUAUCACUAGGGGGAAAAACUCUUUUACUACCGUUUACUCUCUCUAAUUGAUUACGCUUAAAAUUUAAAAAUAUUCACUAGGUUGUCUGUAAAUUUCACAUACACACUCGUGCUUGUGUCUGAUCAAGUAAGAUGUAAAUUGCAAAAAGGUCCUCGGCUAAACCCAUCUAAGGACUUAAUGGGAUUUUGGCUAGAGCCAUGAUAGGGGGAAAAAACUAGAAGGUAUUUAUGUGAUAAAAUUCAUUUUCUCGAAUAUUUUUUUUUGAUUAACAUCCUAUUUUCUAACCAUUUAACAUUUUUUUAAUUUAUAAUUUUAAAAAAAAGUAAUGGGCACAAAGUUCGGACAAUGAUCUUUUCUUAAUUUUGUUUCCCCUUAAUCUCUUUUAAUUUAAUAAGUAGUUAAGAUUGAGUUUUGAAAAUUAAUAUUGACAAUCAAGUUAAUUUUUUAUUUUUUAUAAUUAAAUCUAUUUUUUUCACUAGAUUUUAUAAACUAGGAGAAGUGAGAGAAAAUAAUUAAAAGAGGAUCUCAAUUUACAAAACCCUAAACCUACUGACUAUCUUCCCCAAAAUUCAAACUUGAAUGCCCAAUUAAACAAAGGUACUUGAAGAUUGCUAACCAAUUUAACUCUUGAAUAAGUAUUGCUCAAGUGUCAAAAGCUGCUGACAAAGUUCUAUUUUUUAGAAUAAAAUUCUUGACUUCUCGCAAGAGUGAUUUUUUUUUUCAUUUUUGUUAUAUUACUGUAAAGCAAUUCCCACAGAAUUUCAAUUUACCCAUAAAAGAAAAAAAAAAUCCCACUUGUCUUUAAUAGUUUUACAGUUGGUUAAUGUCACUGAUUCCAAAUGCUGUGUUGCUUAUCUUGGUUAUUGAUCGGAAACACAUCGUUUGAGUAGGUUCUAAGUGAUCCUCAAAAAAGAGCAAUGUUUGAUAGUUACCGUGAAGAAGGCUUGAAGGGUACGCCACAAGGCAGUCCCCGAAGUGCUGAUGACAUUUUUUCGGAAUAUUUUGAUUUCACAAUCCUCCAUGGAGGUGGGGGGAGGAGAGGGUCAAGUUCCAGUUCCUCAAAUGAGACAUUUGGUGAUGAUGAUGUUUUUCAUUCCUUUAAUAGAGUAUUUGUAAUGGGUGGACCUAAGAAAGCACCUCCGAUUGAGAAUAGGCUGCCUUGUACCCUUGAGGAACUCUACAAGGGGACUACUAAGAAGAUAAAGAUCUCUAGGGAAAUUGUUGACAUCAAUGGGUAAGUGGUUGUUAUUUUUAAUAUAGCUGACUAACUGAACCAGUUUUUGCAUACAUGUCAUGAUUUUAUUGGCUUGUUAUAUAGUUGUGACAAGAGGCAUAAUUUCUUCGACAUUGGCAAGAUUUCCCACUGUAUGUGUGUUUUUUGGUUAUGCAGUAAUACCAUCAAGGUGGAAGAAAUUCUAACUGUUGAUGUGAAGCCUGGAUGGAAGAAGGGUACAAGGAUCACCUUCGAAGAGAAGGGAAAUGUGCAGCAAAAUGUUAAGCCUGCAGACGUCGUCUUCAUCGUCGACGAGAAGCCUCACAGUGUGUUUACUCGAGAUGGGAAUGAUUUGAUCGUCACACGGACGAUAACUCUCGGUGAGGCCUUGGAAGGUUAUCCGGUUCUUCUCACUACCCUGGAUGGAAGGAGUUUAAACAUCCCAAUCGACAAUGUGAUUCAUCCCAACUAUGAGGAGACUGUCCCGAGAGAGGGGAUGCCAAUUCAGAACGAGCCAUCAAAGAGAGGCAACUUGAAAAUCAAGUUCAACAUCAAGUUCCCACCAAGUUUGACUGCAGAGCAGAAGGCCGGGAUCAAGUUUUUACAGCUUUUAAAUCGAUGCUUACCUUGUUUUGGGUUGUUUCGGAGUUGGAGUCCUAAUUAAUGUCGUCAUCUUUUCUUUUCUUUCCUUUUUUUUUUUCUCUCCCCAAAAUCGCGUGCUGUUUUCUUUUCUUUAUUUGCUUGUAUAUAAAUAAAGAUUUUGAUUUUGUCGUUGUUCCCUAUAAGAGGUGUUCUAUUAUGGUUCUAUAUUUCGAUGCGUAACUGUUGUGCCAUUUGCAGAAGAUAACUUCUGAUUGAUUUUCUCCGGGGCAUGAAAUGAAAAGUUCAGUAAAUCUAAUUUCAUUCUUUGCAAAGUGUCAUUCUGCCAACUUUGGCUGGUUUUAAAUCGGACUGACACGCUGUCCACAAGUCUCUAUAUACGGGGAUUAUUAUAUACACCUAAUUAAUUGGAAUCAAGUACUGCCAAUAAAAUCCGCUCCCAUGUGUGCAAAGACGAUUGGGUUAACAUGUGACGAUUAAAUAGCUCAGGGGCCCUUAAUCUACUGACUGCAGGCCAAUUAAGGACCGUCUAUGAUCCAUCAAUAUAAUUUUAAUACAGCGGACACGGCAAUAAAACGCCAACUGUUAAAAUAUUUUUUUAUUUUGUCUUUUUAGCUACAGAGAGAACGCUGCAGAAUCCAACUUGUCAUGAAGACACUUCUACCAAGUCAGUAACUCUUCACAGUUAAGUUGCUUUUGUUAGUCACUGAGAUCUGAAGAUGAUGCCCCUGUACCUUCGUCAGGGUCUCCAAUCUGGCCUCCAUCUCCAUCCCUGAUUCCCUCUUCAUCAGGCUCCUCAUUUACAUACUCUUCAACGUCCAAAUAACCUUGUUCAUCUUCUGCACCGCCGUCUCCCAUUUCAUCCUCAUCAUCUUCUUCAUCACCGUCUACAAUAUCAUAACUUCUCUCCUGCAAGUCAUUUGACAUACUAUUAAAACCACCUGCAUAUUCAUCUAUCAUAUCAUUGUAUUCAUCUCCUGUUGCUUGACCAUUUUCUUCACCAUACCCUGAUCUUCCUUAGAAGCUAGCAUUUUCAGCAUCGUCUACUUGCAAUUUAGGAAUUUCAUCUCUAUUCCACCCAUCCCUCGCUAAGUCUCUUGGUUUAUCAAAGAUGCUUUGCUUUGGAGCAUCUUUCUCCACAACCACCCUCUUUGUUGAUUUCCGCCUACUUCUAGCACUGCGACGACCACGCUUACGACUUCCUUGCGCAUGAGAUUGACCUUUCAAUACCAGUACUAGUCUCCCACUCUUGGUGUUUGUGCUUCUUUUACCAGAAUCCCUUCUGGAACCAGCUACUCUUUUCUUAGAUCUUCCAGUAUUCGGGAAUCCACGGGCCCUUCCACGGAUCCCUCGUCCAUGACUAGGGGCAGCAAAUCCAAUCCCCACAUCAACCCUGUUAGCUUCUUCAACUUGAAGAUAUUUUACUUGGUCUUCACCAUCUCUGGUGUUUUUCACAGCAGCAUAUUUUGAUGGAAGCUUCUAAGGAAUUUAAAGGAGAGAAAACGGUGAAGAAAACAAUUUGCUGGAGUAGUAAAUCUCAAACUAAAGUCAGAUAAUUACUGCUGCAGUAUAUGAAUCCAGGGAGAGCAGGACAAUGAUACCCAUAGAUGUUACCCUAAUUCUCUAAGGGUCCAUUUGGGGCAGCUGUGCUGUGGUAGCUACCCUAAAUAGGUUUCGCAUACAGCUUUGCCUUACCCUAAAUAGAGACAUAACUUUCAUUAGGUCUUAAAGCAUAAAAUCUACCACCCAAGAUGUAAGCGUGAUUUUGAUGUUUGCACACAGUUUUCAAGAACAACCAAAGAUUCUCCACUUGCCUUCACUACUAGUAGUAAUAAUCAAACUUUAUGUGACAAUUCUCAAGAAAAGGAACUAAUUUUCUAGACCUUGCUAACCAACAUUUCUGAUCCUCAAUUUUCUUUUCUAAUGAACCAGAAUCAUUAGUCAUAAACUCUUUCCUUCAUGUCAUAUCUCAUUAAAAGAAAAUCAGAGUUUAGGCCUACCUAGUCUGAUAACUAGUGUUAACUAAAACAAAAUUGAUAUAAGCAACUGAGAGUGCAUAAAAAAUUAUAUUACUUUGUAUUUAAAUGAAUUAUAUUAAAGCUGCACAUUUGAGAACGGAAAAGGCUACUCACCAUUAAGUUGCCUUCUCUUUUUUCCUUCUGAAACUCCACUCUCUGAUGUGGCAAAUAAGCUAUGGAUCUAUCAAGCUCCAUGAGCCUUAAACCUACAGCAGCUUCGUUUUUGGUACCCAUGGUAGUACAGAAACUAUUUCUGGACUGGAAGAACUGUUAGAAGUACAUGCCGAUGAGUUAAAUGAGUCCAAGAACUCACUAGUUGUUUCAAAGUUUGAGGACAAAAAGUCCCUCUUUAUGGCAUUCUCCAGCUGUGUAAGAAUCAGAAAAAUAAACGCAUUUUCCAACUUUCUGAGUUCUUCAAAAGUAAAUGUAAAUCCAGAAACAUUUAAAGAAAGAAAUGACAAACAAUAGCGAAUAAAAGAAUAUCCCAGCUUCAUCAGGGGGUUACAUGUUUUCACACAAUUCUAUUAACUACAGAGAUAAAAAGAAAUUUAAAAGAAUAGGUAAAGAGACAAUGAAAAAAGCUAAAAAACCCAUUUGAUUUUACAAGAUUUGACCCGCCAAUUCAGAUAUACUUUUAGGAAGUGACUCAAACUUUACGCUAAAUUGAUUAGAUAUCAAGAUAAGGAAUGAAAGAGACAGGGUAAACUUGGACACAGUAGAUUAAGACAUCAUAUCUGGAUUCAAUUCACAAAAUCAUUUUUAAAUUAUUUGUGCUUCCAGUUUUGCCGAACUUUUAGUUACUUCUCUUCUUUCAAGAAGUCACCCAAAAUGAAGCAAGUACACAGGAGAAAUCUGGCCGCACUGACCUCCAACUACUGGAGAAUCAAAACAUGAUGCAUCAACAGGAAAUGAGUUUCAUCUGACAUGUCAAGCAAUGGAACUAUUCUCACUAUGUUGGACAUUAAAGCAUUAAAUGGGAGAAUGGACAAAACUUUAUAAAGCAGAAAGAGAAAAAGAAAAUGUUAUAAAUUCUGACCAGAUACAAGUAUUGAGAAGAAAAAAGGUGAAACAUUAUACCUGAACAAGGCUAUCAGCUGAUAAUGAGGAGUUAAGUUUCAUUCCUCAGGAGUUUCUAUAGCUGUCAUUCCAAAUAGAUUGAAGAGCUUCUGAUGGGACAGAAACCUAGGAGGGUCGGUGGCGGGCAUUCAGAAAUUCAGGCCCAAAAAAAUAAACACCAUAAGUUGUAUGGCAAUGACAAAAGUUCUAAAAAAAGGGUAAUUCAGAGAGAAACUAGGAGGCAAAACAGUAGUGACAUAAGAAAUUAUCAAUUAUGUAGUACACGAAGACCAGGCAGGGUUCAUCUUCGGCUUUCCUUGACAUUGAGCAACAUGCUCAGAAAAAUUUAAGUACCUCUUAGAAGUAUCAAAGGUCUUGUGGCAAGAGCGGCAGUGGCUGUCUUCGAAAAAAUAUAAAUCAUGGCAGUAAUCACAUACACCCAGAACUUGCUUGCACCUUUUCUUCCCAUACUCCAUGGCACAUAAUAUUGAAGAAUUGACACAUUCCUUCCACAUCCACCUCUCGUAAUCUUGAUAUCGCUUCAAGGCGCCAUUUCUCCGAACGUCAUCUCUUCCAAGCUCAAUUGAGAAAGAUGUUGAUGUGUCUGAUAUUUCAGAAUCAGAAUCACACAAAAUACUGCUGGGGUUAUCAAUGCCAGUGUAAUCAGGGCAAGAAGCCCUUUCAAUAACUUCUGCUUUGACAGUCUCUUGAUUUUGCACUUCUGUGGUAACAUACUGCAAGUUCCUCCUAACAGUUUCCUUAAAGGACAUCUCAAUCAUUUGCAACACCGAAUGCAAAUGGGAUUCUCUAAGCCCAUGGACAUCCAAAGAUGUCAAAAGAGCAUCAAAACUCUGCUUGAAGAAUAUCAAAAGAUUUGUAUGAAAAAAUAAGGAAAACAUGGACACAACAGAUGGUAAAGUAUAAACAUGAAAAUUUUAUCAAAUAUGUCAAUUGAGAAAUGUUUUAUGGUAAACAAAAUUUCAGGAUGAGAAAGUAUGGACAGCCUGUUAAAUCAUGGUUUUGCUAUAGAAAGAUUUCAUGCAGCAAUCUUUCCUUGGGUUUGCUAUCAUAAGAAGACGCAAGGUAAAGAGUGAAUAGCAGCUAUACAUGCCAAAUAAAGAAAAAAAAGAUAUCCAUAUUGAUUGUUUACGCAAAUUAAACAGACUAUACAUUCAGAUAUGACAUAGCCAGCAAAUAAGAGUCAAUAGGAGAAAAUGCUACCUCUUCAGAAUCAAUGAGUCUCCAACGACCAUCACAUAACUCAACAAAGAUCCUGCCACAUCCAGGAUCAUUUUGAGACAUGGAUGUGAUAAAACGCCAAUAUCGAUUACGUCUACGAUCCUGACCAAGAGGCAAUGAUCUAUACACAUGCGUUUCCUCUGCCUUCUGACCAAUGUAAGAUUUCAACUGCAUGCGUGAAUUCUCAGCAGCAUAAGCUGAUUGCUGAUUUACAAGAUUAUCUGGACCGACAGGGUAAUCUUGGUUCCCUUCAGGUGGCAUGCUAGUAUUGCAAUUUUGGUCCUUCUGAGGUUCACCAAACUGUCCUUGUUGGAGAUUAAGGUCCACCAACGUCCCAUUACUUUUGUCAUCAACAGUAACCAAAGGGCUUUGCCUACCGUCUGCAGAAGAAAUUGCAAAACUAGGUUCUGCCUUGUUCCCCAUGUAUGAUGGAUAUUGCAUUUUCACAUAUAAUCUCCUUUAAUUCGUCGUUUAUCAGCUGUGCCUCUGCCCACAUUUGCUUCAUCAAAGCAUUUGCAGCUUCUGAGCGUUCCUGGAAAUGCCCAUAUUUCAGAUUAACGAAAAAGAAAAAAAUGCAAAGCAAAAUUUUCGGAAGCUCUCAUCAAGGAAAAAGAAAAAGAAAAAAGAAGAUACCUCAAGCGCAAAUGCGCAAUGCGAACUGGCGUUUUUUUUUUUUUUUUUAAUUUAAAUAGAGUUGAAUUAGUUUAAAUUUUGAAUAGAUAGUGUUUAUUUUUUUAUCUGAAUAUUAGAAAAUAAUUAUUAAUUUUUUUUAAUUUAAAAAUUAAAAAUAUAUAAUUUUAUAUUUGUAUUUAUAUUAAAUUUUAAGGUCAACUAAUAAUAUAUUAAAUAUCAUAAUAUUUUAAUAUUUAUAAAUAAAAUUAUAUUUAAAUAAAUAUAUAAUGAUUUUAAAAUUUUAAUAUAUAAAAUAUCAUAAAUUUUAAAUUUUAUCAUAUGUAAUAUAAGAAAAAAAAUUAAUAAGAUGUUUGAAAUAAUUGAUUUAUCAUUUUAUUUUACAAUUAUCGCAUGUAAUUUUAAUCUUCAUUACUUGAGGAGUUUAUACCAAAGUAAAGAGGGAUUCUUCGUUGGUUAAAAAAAUAAUGAUAAGAUUAUUAUAUGAGAUAAAUAUCUAUAAAUGAAUUUUAAGAUAGACAUAAAAAUUAAAUUAUUUAAUAAAAAUAUUUUUAAUAUUAAAAAAUAAUUAACUUAAUUCAGAUGUCUCUAUUAAAUAAAAAAUAAAAAAUUUAUUUUAUUUUAUUAAAUUAAAAUUAUUUAAAAAAUCACAUUAAAUUAUAAAAAUAAACAUCUUUAAUUUACUUAAUUAAUUAAUUAAAUUAAAUCAUUUAUUUAAGUUAAAAAAACAAACGCAGUUUCCUUCAAUUGCCACACCAAUUAAAGCAACAAGCCGCUCAUCAACACUGAGAUCAGAAUAUUCUCCCUCCGUUAGUCCUUGAACCCAUGGUUUACCAGGAUGGCUUUCAUUAAUAUCUGUGUGUGUUUGAUCAGGAGUUGCAGCAUUGCUAAUUCCAGCAGCAUCUUCACAGUAAUCAGUCAAAGCCCUAGUUCCUUUUAUCUCAUCAAAGUCUUCUGAAUUCUUAGAAGACAAACCCCUACCAGAAUUGCCAAGGUCACCUUGUGGGCUUUCUAUACCUUUAAUAUCCGCUUCUCUGUUGCCCAAGGGAGUUUUUGCACCACAACUGUUUGCUUCCAGAGAUUCAUGAGUCUCCUCCUUUGAAUUCAGGUCAGUAUCCAUGUCAUAAACAUCAGGAACCUCUGGUACAUCACUAUCUGAAUCUUCAUCCCUUUCUUCAUCUCUUUCAGCAACAUCGGCCUCUUCUCCAUCUACAAAUCCACUUUUAAAUACUCUGAUUCUCUCCCUGGCUGCAGAAAGAAUUGCAUCAGCAUCCCCCGGCUCUUUCCUAUAGGCAGCACGUACACAAUAAGUUUUAAACAGAGGUUAUUAUUUUCAUUAUUUUGCCAUUAUACAUUGACUUUGGUUAAUUGUUUCAUUGCUUGUUGUGGAAUAGAUUCUGUUUGUUGUAUUUUGAGAUUAACGUGGCUUGGAUGUAUACUUGUUUUGGUCAUUGAUUUAAACUCCUUGUUUGUGUAGGUGCUGAGUGAUCCUCAGCAAAGAGCGAUAUAUGAUCAGUACGGAGAAGAGGGCUUAAAGGGUCAGAUGCCGGACCAGGUGGAGCGUCCUUCUUCUCUACUGGAGAAGGGCCUACAACAUUUCGGUUCAAUCCCCGGAGUGCUGAUGACAUUUUUGCUGAGUUCUUCAGUUUUUCACACCCAUUUGGUGGCAUGGGUGGUGGCGGUGGAGGGAUGAGAGGUUCAAGGUUUCCAGGUGGGUUAUUUGGGGAUGAUAUGUUUGGGCCAUUUGGUGAAGGAGGCGGAGGAUCAAUGGGUGGUGGUGGGGCAAGAAAAGCACCUCCGAUUGAGAAUAAGUUGCCUUGUAGCCUUGAGGAUCUCUAUAAGGGGACCACUAAGAAGAUGAAGAUCUCUAGAGAGAUAGCUGAUAUAAGUGGGUAAGUGGUUAUUGCUUUAAUAGUUGGUCUGUUUUUGUAUUGGUGGUGUUACCUUAUUUUCAGUAGUUAUUCUAUGGUUGUGUUACUUUUACUUUUUGGGUAUUUAAAUUGAGCAUUUAUUUAGCCGUUCUGCUGCUCAUCAAAGUAUGGUUUAUUGAUGGCUUAAUUUCAAGAACAAAAGCUAUUGUGUCUAGAAGCUCCCCCAAAACAGAAAAAAGGGGAAAAAAAAAAAAAGGGUUUGCUUUGCUAAAAGGUAUACUUGUCUUUUUGAUUCAUCUUAACAUAAUUGCUUCUACUAGGCUUAUUGGAUUUUACAUAGUGGAAUAUUUUAUUGGUUAAAAUGCAGAAUUAACAUCCUGACUGCAGUCUUGAUUGCUGAUUCUUCGAACUGAACUAAUUAAAUGCUGGAUGUGUUGGUUUAUGAGAAGGAAAUCGGAGGCCGUUGCUUAAUCUAAGCUCUGAUGAUUGUUCAAGCUGAACUAAUUAUUUUGGCUUGGGAUAAGGAAAUAUGGGGCUUUUGCCUAAUCUAACUAAGUUGAAAUUAUCAGAACUUUUUCGGUGCUGGAUUGUGUAAAAGCCAAAUGUUUAAUCGUGAUCAUAUCUGCUUACAUGUUUGGGUUCUUCUUUUGUAAUUAAACUGUGACGAACCGCCAAAGGCAUUUGUAAGAACCUUUUGAAUCAAGCAGUGCGGCGAUUCGAAAGGUUCUCAGCCAGGCAGUAACUUAACUAGAUGAAGUAUAAGCGCUUA
rnacentral:lncRNA from 1 species